UACAGAGACCUCAAGCGUUGUUCGGAUUUACUGGGCGUAAAGCGGGCGUAGGUGGUUACGUAAGUCAGAUGUGAAAGCCCUAGGCUCAACCUGGGAAAUGCAUUUGAUACUGCGUGACUCGAGUGUGGAAGAGAGGAGCGGAAUUCCUAGUGUAGGGGUGAAAUCCGUAGAUAUUAGGAGGAAUACCGAUGGCGAAGGCAGCUCCUUGGUCCAUUACUGACACUGAGGCCCGAAAGCAUGGGUAGCAAACAGG
rnacentral:rRNA from 1 species